AAAAAUAAAAAUAUUUACAUAUAAAUGCUUUAUAUCUCACUAUUUCAACUUGAAAUAUACCUUUGAGAGUAGAGAAAAGCUAUUCCUUUGGGAUUUACACCCUUUAAAACAGUAAACAGCACCUCGCCGAUCCACCGCCAGCUACUCCUUCCCGCUGCCCCGCCGCUACACGAUGGAGUUCAUCUACGCCGCCUUGCAUGAUCGUGCCCUGAGGAGAGAAAGGCGAUUUCGCGAUCGCCUUGACCCUCUCUCCUUAAGUGACACGGAGCUCGUCAGCCACUACCGGUUCCCCCCCGCAUUAUUUGAUUGAGCUCAUCCAGGAGGUUGAGCCUGCCCUAAGGAGGAGGACAAGGAGGUCACAUGCAAUACCGCCACACACACAAGUUUUGGUGACCUUAAGACUGUUAGCCAGCGGUUCCUUUCAGCACGUCAUAGGCGACGUAUGCGGUACUCAUAUUUCCAUUAAGGCACCCCAUGAAAAUGAGGCUGCCUACGUGAACAGGAAGAGGUACCACUCUUUCAACAUCCAAGUUGUGUGUGAUGCUGCUGGUAUGAUCAUCAGCUAUUGUGUCAUUUCCAGCAGGGUCAAAUCACGACUCCUUCAUCUGGCACCAUUGCGACCUAUAUGAACGCUUUCGCAGGGGUGAGUUUGGGGACUACCUGCUCCUUGGCGACAGCGGCUAUGCAUUAGAGCCAUUUUUGAUGACUCCAGUCCGCAACCCCACAACAGAACCGGAGGAGCGCUACAAUAGGGCCCAUACACGGACACGUGUCGUUGUGGAGCAAACCUUUGGAAUACUAAAGAGCCGGUUCAGGUGCCUUCACAAAUCUGGGGUGCCUUGCAGUAUGCUCCCAUGAAGUGCCUCAACAUCAUCACCUCAUGUUUACUGCUGCACAACCGCUGUGUCCAGCGGGGUAUUCCACUUCCCCAGCGGGUACAAAUUUAUAUUUCGCUUGAAGAGGAUGAGGAAGAGCAGGAUGCUCCUACUGCUGUUCUUGGAGCAGCUGCUGGCCGAGGAGCUGGAAGAGCAGUACGUGAAGCAAUAAUUGCUAAUUUCUUUGGGUGAAAUGGUGAGGUGUGUAUUUUAUCGGUCACUCUUGAGUAAGAGCUCAGUAAGUUUGUCACACAUGAGUCCCCUUUUCUGGAAUCCAUACUGUUUACUUGUUAUUAAAUUAUGCUCUUCUAGAAAUCUCGUCUAUUGUUUCUUUAUCACUUUUUCACAUAUUUUACAUAGUACACUGGUCAAUUACACGGGUCUGUAGUUCAGGGGUUCUUCCUUUCUUCCACUUUUGUAUAUAGGGACCACUUUGGCCCUCCGCCACUCCUUAGGCACUGUACCAGUAUUUAUCGGUGUGUUGGUGUGUGUGUGUGUGAGAGAGAGAGAGAGAGAGAGAGAGAGAGAGAGAGAGAGAGAGAGAGAGAGAGAGAGAGAGAGAGAGAGAGAGAGAGAGAGAGAGAGAGAGAGAUGAAUGUAUUAAAAUAUUUGCAAGUAUUUUCUCUUUUGAGACCUUACUCAAAGUAAGUUAAACAUGUGACAAUGUUCUGUAUUUUAGACUAAUUAAAAUGUAC